rnacentral:rRNA from 1 species
UACGUAGGGCGCGAGCGUUGUCCGGAAUUAUUGGGCGUAAAGAGCUCGUAGGCGGCCUGUUGCGUCCGCUGUGAAAUCCCGGGGCUUAACCCCGGGUCUGCAGUGGAUACGGGCAGGCUGGAGGCAGGCAGGGGAGAACGGAAUUCCCGGUGUAGCGGUGAAAUGCGCAGAUAUCGGGAGGAACACCGGUGGCGAAGGCGGUUCUCUGGGCCUGUACUGACGCUGAGGAGCGAAGGCGUGGGGAGCGAACAGG